CCUACGGGGUGCAGCAGUGAGGAAUAUUGGUCAAUGGACGGAAGUCUGAACCAGCCAUGCCGCGUGCAGGAAGACGGCUCUAUGAGUUGUAAACUGCUUUUGUACAAGGGUAAACCUGAAUACGUGUAUUCAGCUGAAAGUACUGUACGAAUAAGGAUCGGCUAACUCCGUGCCAGCAGCCGCGGUAAUACGGAGGAUCCAAGCGUUAUCCGGAUUUAUUGGGUUUAAAGGGUGCGUAGGCGGAUGGAUAAGUUAGAGGUGAAAUGUCCGAGCUUAAGUCGGGAACUGCCUCUAAUACUGGUGUUCUAGAGAGUGGAUGCGGUAGGCGGAAUGUAUGGUGUAGCGGUGAAAUGCUUAGAGAUCAUACAGAACACCGAUUGCGAAGGCAGCUUACCAAUCUAUAUCUGACGUUGAGGCACGAAAGCGUGGGGAGCAAACAGGAUUAGAUACCCCAGUAGUC
rnacentral:rRNA from 1 species